rnacentral:lncRNA from 1 species
UCAACUUCUCACACGGUUCAUCCAACAAAUUUUCAGCAUUCACAAUUCCCAAUUAGGGUCAAAUUAACAGCUUAUUACUACCCAUCACAUAUUCUCCCAUAAUACCCAUUAAUCGAGAUAAACCCCCCUUACCUUGACAAUCCGGCAGAAUCUUUGAGCUUCAAGCUUUCGUUCUCCAACCUUUGCUCUUCAGCUCCUCUUCUCUGCCCUUUUUCCUUUUUCUCUCACGAUGCUUCUCUGUUCUGUUUUCACGUGAAAUGCUUUUCCAAAUGAGAACUUUUCCUUAUUCCAACAUAUAUAUAUUUUCCCAAAAUAAUAAUAAUCCAAAAAUAAUAAUAAUAAAAUU